AGGCUGCAACUCGCCUACACGAAGUCGGAAUCGCUAGUAAUCGCGGAUCAGCAUGCCGCGGUGAAUACGUUCCCGGGCCUUGUACACACCGCCCGUCACACCAUGAGAGUUGGCAAUACCCAACGUACGUGAUCUAACCCGCAAGGGAGGAAGCGUCCUAAGGUAGGGUCAGCGAUUGGGGUGAAGUCGUAACAAGGUACC
rnacentral:rRNA from 1 species